rnacentral:rRNA from 1 species
CGAGAAGACCCUGUGGAGCUUAAAACACCUAAGUUAAUUAUUCUAAAACCUAAACAUCCAAGGAUAUAAACAUAAUAUUAAUAAACCUAACUUAACUUGUUUUUGGUUGGGGCGACCCAGG